GCAUCUUUAGCUCAGGUGGCAGAGCAACUGACUCUUAAUCAGUGGGUCCGGGGUUCGAAUCCCCGAAGAUGCACCA
rnacentral:tRNA from 1 species